AGCUUAGAUUUGGAUAUUUUUCUUUUAGUCCAAUUUUAAGAAACAAAUAUGAAGCCCAAUACCCUCUAACCCCUAAAACCUUGUUCAUUUACUAACUUAAGCUCCUAAGAAGAAGCAGCGGUUCCCAUUUUCAAACAGAAAAUCCAACAAUCCCUGUUGUCAUCUUCAACACCCAACAUAAACCAUCCGAUGCUUCUUCUUCAACCUUCACAAAAACCAUCGCCCACCGACAUCUCUCCAAGGACAAACGACCCUUCUUCUUCGUCGAGAGACCACCCAAAACCCAGCUACCAGACACCACACCCCUCCGCCUUCCUAUACCCAGGGGAAACCACACGAAAAAUCACUCAAGAGAAUACACAAAUAGACAGAAAAGAAACGAGAAAAUCACAAAAAUGGGGAGCUCAAGAAAAAAAACUCUCCCCAUCAUUUUGACCAUGGAAACUCCGUGAAUUGUUCUCCGAUCUAGCAUCUUAAAGAUCUAACAAAAGCUUUGCCUUAACGCCCCAAAUGACCAUGAAAAUUAAGUAAAUAUUCACCUGCAACUAACUGAAAAUCACCUUUACACCACCCUCAGAAAAUCGUAAAAAUCAGCCGCAAAAUUUAGCUGAAACAGCUCCCGAAUCGCAGCUGAAAUCUACUACAACAGCGCCCAAAAUGCCACCAGAGAUUCGAGUCAAGUUGAUCGAGCUGUCCAUUUUCAAGUCCGACAUUUCGGCCCGUGUUCUGGUUCCCUUUGCCAUCGAGGAUUUUCGGUCCAGUUUUGCAUUCAUAUGUCGUUACUGUAACGGGAAAGGCUAUCAAUCUUUGAGGUUAAUUUAUUAUUCUAAUUUUAAAUUUCUUCUUCGUUUCAUCGUUAUUAGGCUUCAACGAUUGUGAUUGUUCUGCUUGUUUCGUUAUGUAUUUUCUUAAG
rnacentral:lncRNA from 1 species